AACGGAGGGGGCUAGUGUUACUCAUAAUGACUGGGCGUAAAGGGUACGUAGAUGGUUUAGCAAAUGCUUAGUAAAAGAAAGGGGUAACUCCCUUAAAUACUUUUUAGACUACUAAACUAGAGUUUUACUAAGGAAAAUGGUACUUUUGACGUAGGGGUGAUAUCCAUUGAUAUCAAUAGGACAAUCGCAGGCGAAGGCAAUUUUCUGAGGGAAACUGACAUUGAGGUACUGAAGCGUGGGGAUCAAAUCGGAUUAGAAACCGAGUAGUCC
rnacentral:rRNA from 1 species